UGGGGAAUCUUGGUCAAUGGGCGCAAGCCUGAACCAGCCACGCCGCGUGAGUGAUGAAGGCCUUCGGGUUGUAAAGCUCUGUGGGGAGGGAAGAAACCGUUCUGGAAGAAACGCCAGGGCCUUGACGGUACCUCCUUAGCAAGCACCGGCUAACUCUGUG
rnacentral:rRNA from 1 species